AAACUUUUAGAGAAAGAGGGACCAUAUUUGAUAGAAAAGGUUCUGUGAAGAAGCCUUCUGCCACAGCAGUCAUGUCAAGGGAACAGAUUGGCCAGACCAUGAUGUUCAGAAAAGUGGCAUUUUUUACAGUGUCCUUGGAGAAAAUCAGGUAUGGGUUUCAGUUAACUGAAUACCCAGGAAGAUUUGUUGUCCCUGAGGUUCUCAGACUGGAAAUCUUAAGCCCUCUGAGGAGGCAGAAUUGACAUGUGACCAGAAAAGAGCUUGUUAGCUCAGGACAUUCAAAAAAACCCAAACUGUAGAUAAACAACAAACUGAGGAACUGCAUUUCUUGAGUGGAGGCAUCUGCAGCAGCUGGAUGGAUGGAUGGUGGCCUGCUAUAGGUUCUGCAGAACAGUGUUACAACCUGUGUUGUUUUACAGAAAAAUCUCUGACUGUGGCAUCCUCUCUUAAAGAAUUGAGCUGCCUGAUUUGGACAUACAAACAGAGUAAAACUUUGGACAAAGAGCAGAAACCCUGUGGUUGCUGUAGUGCUUUAGAGAUAUAAUGGAAGUGAGGCUUAUAGGGAGGACGAGUCUUUCAAAAAGCCAAGAUUCCAGCCUAAAAAUCCAAUCAGAAACCUUCAAAAAAAUCAGCCCACUAUGAAGCAUGAACAUGAAACAUUGUUCCUAUUACUGAAUGAAUAUACUAAUUUUCAAAGUGCAUAUGCCUGAAUGUAUUUACUUUAGAGGCAAGCUUUCAAAAACUCUUUGCGUAUACAGCUUGAUUCCAGCAUUAAUACAAUUUGCAAUGAGCUAGCUAAUGAGCUUCUGGUUUUGAACAACUUGACUCUAUUUAUGAAAGAUUAGACCCACUGAGAAUCGCAUUAUUCUUUUUUCAUAAAGUAUUUGAAUCUAGCUACUGUAAGGUUGCAAAAUACUGCAGAACAGUCAGAUUCAGAGAUUAUUUAAUCAGUAAUAAAAUGUCAUUGUAGGCAGCAUAGCAGUACUUCCUAAAUCCCCCGAUGCAUGGUCGGCUUAUUUCAUUAGAAUCUGUGCUGGCAGUUCGCCAAAGAUGCAGAACUAAUGCUAUCUGCAAUUAUCGGAUUUUGUUAAGCACAGAGCAUUCGACAGUUACAGUGUUAAUGAAUGAAGAAUAGCUAAGCAAGCCUCUAAUCCAUUGCUCAUUGUUUAAAAAAAAAAUUAGAGCCCAGCCCUAUCAUACUCAGUUAUAAUAUGACUCAAAUCAGCAGAAUAAAUAGCUCUGCACCUUUUCUCCCUGUGAGGCAAAUGUAAUGCAUUGCUUGCUAUUUUGCAAAUGAGAGGCUUUUUACUGAGAAAUCCUUUGCUGAGAAAUAAGGAAGAUGUAAAGUUUUCUAAUAAGUAGGAGUAUGAUAUCUACCUGUCAUGGCCGUAUUCCUGCCUGUUGCAAAAAUAAUCUAUUGAUAGGAAAAGGAGAAACUAAUCUAGUCUGUCAGUAGAAAUAUCAGUGCCUUUUAAUUAGCCCUCAGCAAUUGUGAGUUAUCAGGGUGUGUAUUGCACUGUGUUGAUAAAGCUGUGAGGGGAAAAGACUGCAGCUAAUAACUAGCUCUGAGUUCAGAACUGCAGCAUGAAUUCCGUGAAGCUUCUGGAUAUUGGCACUUUCCAAGAGUGGUGGAGAUGUGGGUCCCCUGGCAGAAAAAAAGAGCCUGACCUGACCACUGGUGCCAUCCAAACUCUCCUUCUGGCUCAGAACUGGACCUACCCAGCUGCUCCCCCUGACUCAGAACCAGCAGCAGCCCAGCGCUCCGUCUGCCACACUCACUCAACCAAAAGAGACUCCCUCCUCCCCACCUCUGGUAAUGAGCUGGCACAGAGCAACCUCCAGGUCCCAGCCAUGCCCCUUCCUGCAAAAAUGAGCUUUGUCCUGGCCAGAACCAGGACCCAGGGUGGGCAGGGCUGGUCUGGGGCUGCUGCUGGCACCCAGGUUGCUGAGGAGCCCUGAAGGCAAGAGGCAUACACAGGGCAGCUCACCAGGGUCUGGCCUGGCAGGGAAAGCCCUUCUCCCUUCAAAAAGAAAUGAAAAAGGCAACCAGAGCAAGGCUCCACCACAAGGGAGGAAAAGGCAAAAUCCAAGGGUGGUGGUGGCCACCCUUAGUGAGCACAGUGCAGUCCUGCAGUGCCUGGCCUGGCUGAGCAGAGUGCUGAUGACAGGUUCAUGGACAGGCACAGGUACAGCAAAGCCUGAACCACAUCCACGCAGGAGACACAACCACAAACAAGGCUGCAGCAUGGUCCAGGGUCUAUCCUGGAGUCAGCUGUGCCUGUGGAGGGAAUGAAGAACAGGGAUUGAGUUUAGAUGGAGUUCUUUAGUCCAUAGGCUGUGGAGGUGGAUGAAAGUUUCAGGCCAGGCUGGACAGCACCAUUGAGGCCUAUUGGUACACUCAGAGUUCUGACAGAUAAGCUGCUCCAAAUAUUAGAAAAAUGUCUGUGAUUUGUUAUGAAAGAUUACUGCUUGGUAAUGAUUAUAAUACUAUA